rnacentral:rRNA from 1 species
AGUGAACGCUGGCGGUAGGCCUAACACAUGCAAGUCGAACGGCAGCACAGUAAGAGCUUGCUCUUACGGGUGGCGAGUGGCGGACGGGUGAGGAAUACAUCGGAAUCUACUUUUUCGUGGGGGAUAACGUAGGGAAACUUACGCUAAUACCGCAUACGACCUACGGGUGAAAGCAGGAGAUCUUCGGACCUUUCGCGAUUGAAUGAGCCGAUGUCGGAUUAGCUAGUUGGCGGGGUAAAGGCCCACCAAGGCGACGAUCCGUAGCUGGUCUGAGAGGAUGAUCAGCCACACUGGAACUGAGACACGGUCCAGACUCCUACGGGAGGCAGCAGUGGGGAAUAUUCGACAAUGGGCGAAAGCCUGAUCCAGCCAUACCGCGUGGGUGAAGAAGGCCUUCGGGUUGUAAAGCCCUUUUGUUAGGGAAGAAAAGCAGCAGGUUAAUACCCCGCUGUUCUGACGGUACCCAAAGAAUAAGCACCGGCUAACUUCGUG